UAGGAUGCCCGCCAAAGGUUUUGAAAACAUCUGAAGCCCCUGGUGGGGGUGGAGGAUGUUUGCUGGUUAUAGGGCCACUUUUGGUUCUGGACUGACUAAUGGGUUUGGACUUGAUUUGGCUGAUUUGUCUUGGAACAGGAAAAAUU